UUGGGCGUAAAGGGCUUGUAGGCGGUUUGUCGCGUCUGCUGUGAAAAUCCGAGGCUCAACCUCGGACUUGCAGUGGGUACGGGCAGACUAGAGUGUGGUAGGGGAGACUGGAAUUCCUGGUGUAGCGGUGAAAUGCGCAGAUAUCAGGAGGAACACCGAUGGCGAAGGCAGGUCUCUGGGCCACUACUGACGCUGAGAAGCGAAAGCAUGGGGAGCGAACAGGAUUAGAUACCCUGGUAGUCCAUGCCGUAAACGUUGGGCGCUAGGUGUGGGACUCAUUCCACGAGUUCCGUGCCGCAGCUAACGCAUUAAGCGCCCCGCCUGGGGAGUACGGCCGCAAGGCUAAAACUCAAAGGAAUUGACGGGGGCCCGCACAAGCGGCGGAGCAUGCGGAUUAAUUCGAUGCAACGCGAAGAACCUUACCAAGGCUUGACAUAUACCGGUAACACCCAGAGAUGGGUGCCCCUUUUUGGUCGGUAUACAGGUGGUGCAUGGUUGUCGUCAGCUCGUGUCGUGAGAUGUUGGGUUAAGUCCCGCAACGAGCGCAACCCUCGUUCUAUGUUGCCAGCACGUAAUGGUGGGGACUCAUGGAAGACUGCCGGGGUCAACUCGGAGGAAGGUGGGGAUGACGUCAAAUCAUCAUGCCCUUUAUGUCUUGGGCUUCACGCAUGCUACAAUGGCCGGUACAAUGGGCUGCGAAACCGCCAGGUGGAGCGAAUCCCAAUAAACCGGUCUCAGUUCGGAUUGGGGUCUGCAAUCUCGACCCCAU
rnacentral:rRNA from 1 species